UUCUCAAAGGAUCUCUAUACGCAGUUAAUAGUAGUUGAAAAAUGAACUGUUUUUGAAUUUUUGAGUUAAACAGUAAAACUAGUUUCUUUGUGGUACUUCUCAGAGCCUACAAUCUGCUAAUGUGUGUAGUGAAUUUCUAUGAGGAUAAUGUGUGGACUUUCUCACAUUUUUAAAUGUAACCCCUCCUCCUUUUAUUUUUUGGCAGAGUAUCUUAUUGGAUUUUUAUUUCACAGAAUUUGGUCAAUGAUAUUUACAGGAUUAGAAAUAAGCAUUCUUGAAUUUUUUUGUUGAAAUUCUAUGAAAUAGCUCUUGGAUCUGGGCUUCUAAGAGUAUAGUUAAUGCUUCUAAAACUUUAAUAUGCCUGUACAUUUGCUGGGUAUCUUGUUAAUAUGCAGAAUUUGCUUCAGUUGGUCUCCAUAGGGGCAGUGAUUUUGCAUUUCUAACGUGUUCCCAGGUGAUACUGAUGCUACUGGUGUUUUAGCAUUCUUUGAGCAGUAAGGCUCCAGAUGUACUUAAGUGCUUUCCGAGGUGAAAAGUGUUAAAGAUAAUCUCUGCCACCUGGCCUGGAGGUAAGGUGUUUAGAGAGGCUUCACCUUAGGGCACUGGAAGUUGGAGCUGAGUAAGUAGUUAUACAAGCCAGAUGAUCUACUUGUAUAUUACUAAUAAUCUGUUUAUUUUUCAUUGUAUAUUUUUUCCUGGCUAUGAGAGAUACACAAACAUAUUUUCAGAAUAAAAUAGCAAAUACCUAUAUGCUUUGACACUUGCUGUGUGUGUCCAAAAUAUCCCAUGGCCUUUUGACAGGUCCUUGGUAGGAGAGUUUAGAUCUCUGUUCUGUAAGUGAUAAUAUUGAAUGGGAAAUACACAUGUGGAAUGCUUAGUUAGACCUCAUUUAACCCCUUGCCUGUCUCAACAUUCAUGUCCUCAGCUGAGGACAAAGACUUAACUGACUUUCUAUGUGCAAAUGUAUCAGUGAUUCAGAAGCGGUUUUAAUCGUUUAAGGCUGGGAUAACAAUUAACGUUUGCCUUUUGUGUUAACGCUAUACAUUUGUUCUUUAAUAUCUAAAGGGAUGUCUAUAGAAAGAUUCAAGGCUAUGGUCUGAGCUUGAUGAGAAAGAGUGACACAUUAGAUUAACGAUCUCUCUCCUGGGCAUGAGAAGGAAAAUAUCCUCACAGGAGCUGAGCUGCAUAUUUGACAUCCCUGAUAAAGCAUUAGGUUAUGCUGACACCACAUUGUCAACAGAUGAUCUUUGCACCUUCUGAUUUGCUUAGUAUCCAUUGUCAAACACUUAAAUAUGGGUUAAGGCUACUAUAAAAAUUAUUUACUUAAUUAUUUACUUAUGCCAUUUUUUUUUAGUACUAAAACUGCAUUUUAGGCUGUGUGCUCAGAGUAAUUGGGCCAAGAUUCCAGUGAAAUACCUGAAUGGUGCUAAAAAUAAAUUCAAUGAAAUUCCUUUAAGUCCUUUCUCAGUGGUUAGAUUGUUUACUCCUCAAAUUCCUUGCUAACAAAUUCUUCCUAAUAGAGGUCCUGUUGGAGUCAAUUAGUUAAGAUUUAUUUAUAAUUAGAAACUCCUAUUUGCAAGCAAUUGAAUCUUUCAAAGUCUUUCAGUAGGUUGUUUGUUUUCUGCAGUUUUGAUUACAAAUACUUCAUUUUUGUUACAAAGUUAAGCUUUAGUUUAAUUCUUGGUCAUAUCAAAAAUUUUAAAUUCAUUGAGUCUAAAUCAUAAGUUGAUUAUAUUAGAAUUGUGUAAUAAAGCAUUAACAAUCAUAACAGUUAAGAUGCUUCUUUUAUGUGUUAGUUCACUGGGGCAGAAGACAGCAUAAUACAGAUGCCCAGUGUAAAGAAGUUAGCAGAUUCAAAUUAUCCAGUGGUUCGCUCAACUAGAAAUUCUAAUUUUUAAAGAAUGAUGUAAAAUUUGCUGGGCAGUUGUGUGUACUCACGUGCAUAUGUUCUUGUGUUGUUGGUGUAUAUUGUUCUGCUUUGUUUUGUUGUUCUUCAUAUACAUUCAAAUAAGAGCUUUUCUGACUUGGUAGUAGUAGGUCAGGAUAAAGAGCUGGGAUGUGCUAUCCCCCUCUUGUGAGUUGUAUAUAAUUCGUUAGGCUUCUUUUGUGUCCACCUUUUUUUAAAUUUAGAUGGCUGGCUCUGACUGCUAUAACAAGGUAUGUAUCACAGCUAUGUAAUGUAAGAAUGCAAAAUCUACUAUAGUUGUACUAUAAAUUCAGCACCUGUUACUGUAUAAUUAAGAUACUGCAUUUGAAGACAAUAAAAAAGCUAAUUCAAAUAUGUGU
rnacentral:lncRNA from 1 species